rnacentral:rRNA from 1 species
AGAGUUUGAUCCUGGCUCAGAACGAACGCUGGCGGCGUGCUUAACACAUGCAAGUCGAACGCGAACGUCACCUUCGGGACCGGUAGAGUGGCGCACGGGUGAGUAACGCGUAGAUAAUCUACCCCUUAGUCUGGGACAACCUUCCGAAAGGAGGGCUAAUACUGGAUAACACCUUUUGUCGAGUGGCUUUAGGGCCCUGGGACGAGUCUGCGUACCAUUAGCUAGUUGGCGGGGUAAUGGCCCACCAAGGCGACGAUGGUUAGCGGGUCUGAGAGGAUGAUCCGCCACACUGGAACUGAGACACGGUCCAGACUCCUACGGGAGGCAGCAGUGGGGAAUCUUGCGCAAUGGACGCAAGUCUGACGCAGCAAUACCGCGUGAGUGAAGAAGGCCCUAGGGUCGUAAAGCUCUUUUAUCGGGGAAGAUAAUGACGGUACCCGAGGAAUAAGCACCGGCUAACUACGUGCCAGCAGCCGCGGUAAUACGUAGGGUGCAAGCGUUGUUCGGAAUCACUGGGCGUAAAGGGCGUGUAGGCGGACUGUUAAGCAGGAGGUGAAAGCCCGGGGCUCAACCCCGGAAGUGCUUUCGGAACUGCCAGUCUUGAGAGGGUCAGGGGCCAGCGGAAUUCCAGGUGUAGAGGUGAAAUUCGUAGAUAUCUGGAGGAACACCGGCGGCGAAAGCGGCUCACUGGUGCCAUACUGACGCUGAGGCGCGAAAGCGUGGGUAGCAAACAGGAUUAGAUACCCUGGUAGUCCACGCCGUAAACGAUGAGUGCUAGUCGUCAGCGGGCAUGCCCGUUCUUCGGUGUCGCAGCUAACGCGUUAAGCAUUCCGCCUGGGGAGUACGGUCGCAAGACUAAAACUCAAAGGAAUUGACGGGGGCCCGCACAAGCGGUGGAACAUGUGGUUUAAUUCGACGCAACGCGCAGAACCUUACCAUCCCUUGACAUCCCCAACGCGGAUCGCAGAGAUGCUUUCCUUCAGGCUGGUUGGGUGACAGGUGCUGCAUGGCUGUCGUCAGCUCGUGUCGUGAGAUGUUGGGUUAAGUCCCGCAACGAGCGCAACCCUCGCCCUUAGUUGCCAGCAGUUCGGCUGGGCACUCUAGGGGAACUGCCGGUGAUAAGCCGGAGGAAGGUGGGGAUGACGUCAAGUCCUCAUGGCCCUUACGGGAUGGGCUACACACGUGCUACAAUGGCAGUGACAAUGGGUUAAUCCCCAAAAGCUGUCUCAGUUCGGAUUGUCGUCUGCAACUCGACGGCAUGAAGUCGGAAUCGCUAGUAAUCGCGUAACAGCAUGACGCGGUGAAUACGUUCCCGGGCCUUGUACACACCGCCCGUCACACCAUGGGAGUUGGUUCUACCCGAAGAUCGUGCGCCAACCGCAAAGGCAGCGGACCACGGUAGGAUCAGCGACUGGGGUGAAGUCGUAACAAGGUAGCCGUA